UCUCCGUGCCCGAGCGGUCUGUGGGGAAGACGACAGCAGUGAGACGAGCUCCCUGAGCUCCUCUGACGAGGACCCCGAGGUCUGCCAGGAGCCCCCCGAGGUCUGCCAGGAGGACCCCGAGGUCUGCCAGGAGCCCCCCGAGGUCUGCCAGGAGCCCCCCGAGGUCUGCCAGGAGGAUGCAGCGGGCAAUGCAGCCUCUCCCUGAAGCCCCUCAGAGGGCCCAGGGGAAGGAGGAGGAGGGAAGCACAAGUCCUCCCCCCAGGCCUCUGCCCCAGAGCAGGAGGUGCCCGAGAGCUGGGAGCAUGGGCUCAGCAGGGCUGGGCACCUCCCAGCCCACAAGGCCGCUCUCCUUCCCUAAACAGGCCAAACCUAUCCAGGCUCCCUUGCUUUUUGCUCGGUAGUUCCCUCUGCUUGAAUGCCUCCCCCACCCCCACUCCUCCACCCCCACCCCCACCCUGCCUGGCAAUAGCUCACUUGUCCUUUGACGCCCCACUCCAGUGUCACCUCCGUCCCCUGCUCCCCAGGCAGAAAUAGUUGUGUGUGCUUCCUAAGCCCUUGGUUCAUGCUUCUACUGUGACACUUAUUUCACUGUUUUAUAAUUAGUCGGGCAUGAGUCUGUCUCCCAAGCUAGACUGUGUCUGAACCAUGUCUGUAUCGCCAGUGCCCAGUGCAGGGCCUGGCAUAGAGUAGGUACUCCAUAAAAGGUGUGUUCAACUGAA